rnacentral:rRNA from 1 species
CCUACGGGUGGCAGCAGUCGAGAAUUAUUCACAAUGGGGGAAACCCUGAUGGUGCGACGCCGCGUGGGGGAAUGAAGGUCUUCGGAUUGUAAACCCCUGUCAUGUGGGAGCAAAUUAAAAAGAUCGUACCACAAGAGGAAGAGACGGCUAACUCUGUGCCAGCAGCCGCGGUAAUACAGAGGUCUCAAGCGUUGUUCGGAAUCACUGGGCGUAAGGCGUGCGUAGGCUGUUUCGUAAGUCGUGUGUGAAAGGCGCGGGCUCAACCCGCGGACGGCACAUGAUACUGCGAGACUAGAGUAAUGGAGGGGGAACCGGAAUUCUCGGUGUAGCAGUGAAAUGCGUAGAUAUCGAGAGGAACACUCGUGGCGAAGGCGGGUUCCUGGACAGUAACUGACGCUGAGGCACGAAGGCCAGGGGAGCGAAAGGGAUUAGAUACCCCAGUAGUC